rnacentral:rRNA from 1 species
AUUAGAUACCCUGGUAGUCCACGCCGUAAACUAUGGAUGCUAGCUGUUAUUCGUAUCGACCCGAGUAGUAGCGAAGCUAACGCGUUAAGCAUCCCGCCUGUGGAGUACGGUCGCAAGACUAAAACAUAAAGGAAUUGACGGGGACCCGCACAAGCGGUGGAGCGUGUUGUUUAAUUCGAUGGUAAGCGAAGAACCUUACCCAGACUUGACAUCCUUGGAAGCACUGCGAAAGCAGAGUGUGCCUCCGGGAACCAAGUGACAGGUGUUGCAUGGCCGUCGUCAGCUCGUGUCGUGAGAUGUUUGGUUAAGUCCAUCAACGAGCGCAACCCUUGUGGCUAGUUGAAUUUUUCUAGUCAGACUGCCCUGGUAACAGGGAGGAAGGAGGGGAUGAUGUCGGGUCAGUAUUACCCUUACGUCUGGGGCUACAAACACGCUACAAUGGCCGGUACAAAGGGCUGCCAAGUCGCGAGACGGAGCAAAUCCCAUCAAAACCGGUCCCAGUUCGGAUUGCAGGCUGAAACUCGCCUGCAUGAAGUCGGAAUCGCUAGUAACGGUAGGUCAGCACACUACCGUGAAUACGUUCCCGGGUCUUGUACACACCGCCCGUCAAACCAUGAAAGUCGCCAAUACCU